ensembl:lncRNA
CAGGACAAUAUGAGGCAGGUUAACCUCCAGGACCAGGACAAUAUAAGGCAGGUUAACCUCCAGGACAAUAUGAGGCAGGUUACCCUCCAGGACCAGGACAAUAUGAGGCAGGUUACCCCCCCAGGACAAUAUGAGGCAGGUUACCCCAGGACAAUAUGAGGCAGGUUACCCCCCAGGACAAUAUGAGGCAGGUUACCCCCAGGACAAUAUGAGGCAGGUUACCCCCCAGGACAAUAUGAGGCAGGUUACCCCCCAGGACCAGGACAAUAUGAGGCCGACAUAAGGCAGGAAUAACCCCUGGGAGAAGGGUCUGGGAACCAUACCAUUCACGGACCACCUCUGCUUCCCAAUGCUCUCUUCCC